rnacentral:tRNA from 1 species
AAUAACUCCACCAUCAGCACCCAAAGCUGAAAUUCUUUUUAAACUAUUCC